AGGGAUAUAGCUCAGUGGUAGAGUGCCUGCUUAGCAUACGCAAGGUCCUAGGUUCAAUCCCUGGUACCUCCA
rnacentral:tRNA from 1 species